rnacentral:misc_RNA from 1 species
GGAUGAAGAACGUAGCGAAAUGCGAUACUUGGUGUGAAUUGCAGAAUCCCGUGAACCAUCGAGUCUUUGAACGCAAGUUGCGCCCGAAGCCAUUAGGCCGAGGGCACGCCUGCCUGGGCGUCACACGUCGUUGCCCCCCCAUCUACUCCUUCGGGAUUGCGGGGGGCGGAUGAUGGCCUCCCGUGCGCCUCGCCGCGCGGUUGGCAUAAAUGCCAAGUCCUCGGCGACGCACGCCACGACAAUCGGUGGUUGCGAAACCUCGGUUGCCCGUCGUGUGCGGUCGUCGCGCAUCGAGGGCUCGAAAAAAUUGCCGGGUUCCGGCUCGGCUUUCAACGCGACCCCAGGUCAGGCGGGGUUACCCGCUGAAUUUAAGCAUAUCAAUAAGCGGAGGA